UGGGGAGCCAACAGGAUUAGAUACCCUUGGUAGUCCCAUGCUGUAAACGAUGGGUACUAGGUGUGGGUUGUGAAUAACCAAUUCGGUGCCGUCGCAAACGCAAUAAGUACCCCGCUUGAGGAGUACGAUCGCAAGAUUAAAACUCAAAGGAAUUGACGGGGACCCGCACAAGCAGCGGAGCAUGUGGUUUAAUUCGAAGCAACGCGAAGAACCUUACCUAAACUUGACAUACCUUGAAUUACCUUGUAAUGAGGGAAGCUCGCAAGAGCAAGGAUACAGGUGGUGCAUGGUUGUCGUCAGCUCGUGUCGUGAGAUGUUGGGUUAAGUCCCGCAACGAGCGCAACCCUUGUUGUUAAUUGCUAACAGGUUAAGCUGAGCACUUUAGCGAGACAGCCUAGGUUAACUAGGAGGAAGGUGGGGAUGACGUCAAAUCAUCAUGCCCCUUACGUUUAGGGCUACACACGUGCUACAAUGGUGAGAACAGAGAGAAGCAAGCUAGUGAUAGUGAGCAAAACUUAUAAAACUCAUCUCAGUUCGGAUUGCAGGCUGAAACUCGCCUGUAUGAAGAUGGAGUUGCUAGUAAUCGCGAAUCAGAAUGUCGCGGUGAAUACGUUCCCGGGUCUUGUACACACCGCCCGUCACACCAUGAGAGUUGGCAACACCCGAAACCUGUGGGCUAACCAUAUAGGAGGCAGCAGUCUAAGGUGGGGUCAGUGAUUGGGGUGAAGUCGUAACAAGGUAUCC
rnacentral:rRNA from 1 species